rnacentral:rRNA from 1 species
UACAGAGGGGGCAAGCGUUGUUCGGAAUUACUGGGCGUAAAGGGCGCGUAGGCGGCCCGCUAAGUCGAACGUGAAAUCCCCGAGCUCAACUCGGGAACUGCGUCCGAUACUGGCGGGCUUGAAUCCGGGAGAGGGAUGCGGAAUUCCAGGUGUAGCGGUGAAAUGCGUAGAUAUCGGGAGGAACACCAGUGGCGAAGGCGACUUCCUGGACCGGUAUUGACGCUGAGGCGCGAAAGCUAGGGGAGCAAACGGG